rnacentral:sRNA from 1 species
UGGAUAUAAACAGAGAUACCAAGUGCUAUAUAGUUGAAUGAAAACGCUGUGAAAAUUUCAAUUUAAUAGACGGAGUUCGACGCGUAAGUUUCCAACUGUGUUUUGUGUGCCUGUGUGUGUGCAUGUGUGUGUGUAGGAAAAAGAGAAAGAAGUUCCAA